rnacentral:misc_RNA from 1 species
GUGAAUCAUCGAAUCUUUGAACGCAAAUUGCACUCCCUGGUAUUCCGGGGAGUAUGCCUGUUUGAGGGUCGUUAGAACAAAAAUCUAAGCGACGCUCUUUUUUUUUAAGAAUGAUCGCGUCGGAGUUGAGCGCGCUUUCAAAUGUUAAUUCAUGUAAUAUCAGCUUAGAAUUCAUCCAUCAGAUACG